rnacentral:siRNA from 1 species
UGAAGAGUAGGUGCAUGUCGU